rnacentral:rRNA from 1 species
GACGAACGCUGGCGGCGCGCUUAACACAUGCAAGUCGAACGUGAAACCCGGGCUUGCCCGGGCGGAAAGUGGCGAACGGGUGCGUAACACGUGAGGAACGUGCCCCGAAGACCGGGAUAACUCGAGGAAACUCGUGCUAAUACCGGAUGUCCUCGCCGGAUCGCAUGGUCUGGUGAGGAAAUGGAUUCCGCUUCGGGAUCGCCUCGCGGCCUAUCAGCUUGUUGGUGGGGUAACGGCCCACCAAGGCAACGACGGGUAGCUGGUCUGAGAGGAUGUCCAGCCACACUGGGACUGAGACACGGCCCAGACUCCUACGGGAGGCAGCAGUGGGGAAUCUUGCACAAUGGGCGAAAGCCUGAUGCAGCGACGCCGCGUGCGGGAUGAAGGCCCUCGGGUCGUAAACCGCUUUCAGCAGGGACGAUAGUGACGGUACCUGCAGAAGAAGCCCCGGCCAACUACGUGCCAGCAGCCGCUGUAAU